rnacentral:rRNA from 1 species
GAUGAACGCUGGCGGCGUGCCUAAUACAUGCAAGUCGAGCGAACAGACGAGGAGCUUGCUCCUCUGACGUUAGCGGCGGACGGGUGAGUAACACGUGGAUAACCUACCUAUAAGACUGGGAUAACUUCGGGAAACCGGAGCUAAUACCGGAUAAUAUAUUGAACCGCAUGGUUCAAUAGUGAAAGACGGUUUUGCUGUCACUUAUAGAUGGAUCCGCGCCGCAUUAGCUAGUUGGUAAGGUAACGGCUUACCAAGGCAACGAUGCGUAGCCGACCUGAGAGGGUGAUCGGCCACACAGGAACUGAGACACGGUCCAGACUCCUACGGGAGGCAGCAGUAGGGAAUCUUCCGCAAAGGGCGAAAGCCUGACGGAGCAACGCCGCGUGAGUGAUGAAGGUCUUCGGAUCGUAAAACUCUGUUAUUAGGGAAGAACAAAUGUGUAAGUAACUAUGCACGUCUUGACGGUACCUAAUCAGAAAGCCACGGCUAACUACGUG